UCCAGCUUGCGAUCUGGGCCUCUUUUAU
rnacentral:sRNA from 1 species